rnacentral:lncRNA from 1 species
CCCAGCACUUUGGGAGGCCGAGGCGGGCAGAUCAUGGGAUCAGGAGAUUGAGACCAUCCUGGCUAACAUAGUGAAACCCCGUCUCUACUAAAAAUACAAAAAAAUUAGCCGGGCAUGGUGGCGGGCGCCUGUAGUCCCAGCUACUUGGGAGGCUGAGGCAGGAGAAUGGCGUGAACCCAACAGGCAGAGCUUGCAGUGAGCCUGUGGUUUUGACUUGCAUUUCCCUAAUGGUUAGUGAUGUAUUGUUUCCUUUGCUGUGCAAGAGUGUUUUGCUUUAAUGUAGUCCCACUUGUUUAUUUUUGUUUCUGUUGACUGUGCUUUUGGUAUAAAAUCCAUUAAAU